rnacentral:rRNA from 1 species
UACUGACGCUACUGCUCGAAGGUGCGGGUACCGAACAGGAUUAGAUACCCUGGUAGUCCGCACAGUAAACGAUGGAUGCCCGCGGUCCGCUCUUUGGGGUAGGCCGCCAAGCGAAAGCGUUAAGCAUCCCACCUGGGGAGUACGCCGGCAACGGUGAAACUCAAAGGAAUUGACGGGGGCCCGCACAAGCGGAGGAACAUGUGGUUUAAUUCGAUGAUACGCGAGGAACCUUACCCGGGCUUGAAACAUGGACGCACUCCGGCAGAGACGCCGGAUUUCUUCGGACGUCCAUGUAGGUGCUGCAUGGUUGUCGUCAGCUCGUGCCGUGAGGUGUCGGCUCAAGUGCCAUAACGAGCGCAACCCCUCUCCGCAGUUGCCACCGGGUAAUGCCGGGCACUCUGCGGACACUGCCAUCGCAAGAUGUGAGGAAGGCGGGGACGACGUCAAAUCAGCACGGCCCUUACGUCCGGGGCCACACACGUGUUACAAUGGGGGGCACAGAAGGCAGCUGGCUAGCGAUAGUCCGGCGAAUCCCCAAAUCCCCUCCCAGUUCGGACUGGAGCCUGCAACCCGGCUCCACGAAGCUGGAUUCGCUAGUAA